ACGGGAGGCAGCAGUGAGGAAUAUUGGUCAAUGGGCGGAAGCCUGAACCAGCCAAGUCGCGUGAAGGAUGAAGGUAUUAUGUAUUGUAAACUUCUUUAGUCGUAGAGAAAUAAGGUGCUCGUGAGCACUGAUGCUAGUAUACGAAGAAUAAGGAUCGGCUAACUCCGUGCCAGCAGCCGCGGUAAUACGGAGGAUCCGAGCGUUAUCCGGAUUUAUUGGGUUUAAAGGGUGCGCAGGCGGCUUUUUAAGUCAGUGGUCAAAUCGUGGGGCUCAACCCCAUCCCGCCAUUGAUACUGGAGAGCUUGAUUGCGGUCGAGGUUGGCGGAAUUCGUCGUGUAGCGGUGAAAUGCAUAGAUAUGACGAAGAACCCCGAUUGCGUAGGCAGCUUACCAAGCCGUAAAUGACGCUCAUGCACGAAAGUGCGGGGAUCGAACAGGAUUAGAUACCCUGGUA
rnacentral:rRNA from 1 species